CCCCCCCCCACCGUUUUUCUUCUUCUUCAUCCAAACGACCACCCCCCAUUUGAAUUCCAUCUUCUUUUUCAUUCCAACAAUAGCUUCCAGCAGCCUAAUGUCGGACACACGCACACGCGCACCAACAGAUCGUCGUUCUUCACCAGACUCGCCGAAAAAAUCGAACACGACCACCCUUUUUAUCUCCAAGCCAUAACAGUCAUCGCAACUCACCCCUUUUGCCGUCACUUCAAUCCAAACUCACACCAAAAUUCAGUGAAAACCAAAAUCGAAUUCCUUUCUAAUGAUGUUUAGCUGAUGUUUCUGAGUUGGGGUUCGAGAUUUCUCAGUCAAAUAAGGGUCCGUCGAGUCUCCGGUUUCAGUCCAGUUCUUCAUUUCAUCGUUGUCCACGGUUUCCAGAGUCAAACAUUUUCAGAUUCGAUAUUGCUUUGUCUUAAGAGCCUAAAUGGUCACACGAGUCCAAUAGAAUCUGUAGCUUUUGACGCAACAGAGAUCCUAGCGUUUGCUGGAUUUUCCUCAUGUGAUAAAGCUAUGGAAUUUCAAAAAACAAAAGUAAGUUGAUGUUCCUUUUACUCCUAUGUUCUGUAUUAGCUUUACUCUUAAAACGUUGUAGUGAGUAUACUCUGAACGAUUAUUUGAUGACUAGGAUGUUGUAUAAUUGUCUCGUUGUUUCAUUUGUUUUGUUAAGAUUUUCUUGAUUUCAUUUUUUUUUUGAGCUUUCAUUUGGUAGUUAUUUAGGUACAUGCACGAAUUACUUAAUCUUUUCCAUUUUAAAAGGGUGAGUGAUUGAUCUGUUUGGUCAAUUGUUUUUAAACAAAAAGGAAGAAGCUCGUUGAGAGUAUACGUAGUUCAUGUUUCUUGGAAUGGUUUAGUGUUUAUUUGUCCCGAUGUUUGUUUUUGUGUGUUCAUUCGGAUGGUUUGGAAUGAAUCAUUUUGAAUGGUUGUUAGGUUGAGGCAGUGGAGUUUACAGAAUGCAAAUAAG
rnacentral:lncRNA from 1 species